GACGAACGCUGGCGGCGUGCUUAACACAUGCAAGUCGAACGAAGUGGCGAACGGGUGAGUAACGCGUAAUCAACCUGCCCUUCAGAGGGGGACAACAGUGGGAAACGACUGCUAAUACCGCAUACUGAAGGAGGGGAUUGCGUGUGAUUAGCUAGGUGGGUGGGUAACGGCCCACCAAGGCGAAGAUCAGUAGCCGGUCUGGGAGGAUGAACCGCCACAAUGGGGAUGAGACACGGCCCAGACUCCUACGGGAGGCAGCAGUGGGGGAUCUUCCGAAAUGGACGAAAGUCUGACGGAGCAACGCCGCGUGAGUGAUGACGGCCUUCGGGUUGUAAAGCUCUGUUAAUCGGGACGCGGUACCGGAAUAGAAAGCCACGGCUAACUACGUGCCAGCAGCCGCGGUAAUUC
rnacentral:rRNA from 1 species